CCAGAGUCCGACCAUUCACUGUGUAGGCCCUGCCCAUGUUAGACUUCCCAAAAUGUAACACCUCACAUUUCUCUGUAAUAAAUUCCAUCAACUAUUCCUCAACCCACUUGGCCAAUCUAUCCAGAUUUUGUUGC